ACGUUUUCUCUGAAGUAAAGGCUGGACUACAACAGAGCUGUUUGGCGCAAUUUCUGAUCAGUGUUUUCUCUUGGAGGUGGUAAGUCCCUUUAGGGGGGGGGACUUUGGGCUUUUUCACUUUGUAAACCUAUAA